AGGCGUCGACGGGUAGCCGGCCUGAGAGGGUGACCGGCCACACUGGGACUGAGACACGGCCCAGACUCCUACGGGAGGCAGCAGUGGGGAAUAUUGCACAAUGGGCGAAAGCCUGAUGCAGCAACGCCGCGUGAGGGAUGACGGCCUUCGGGUUGUAAACCUCUUUUAGCAGGGAAGAAGCGAGAGUGACGGUACCUGCAGAAAAAGCGCCGGCUAACUACGUGCCAGCAGCCGCGGUAAUACGUAGGGCGCAAGCGUUAUCCGGAAUUAUUGGGCGUAAAGAGCUCGUAGGCGGUUUGUCGCGUCUGCUGUGAAAUCCCGAGGCUCAACCUCGGGCCUGCAGUGGGUACGGGCAGACUAGAGUGCGGUAGGGGAGAUUGGAAUUCCUGGUGUAGCGGUGGAAUGCGCAGAUAUCAGGAGGAACACCGAUGGCGAAGGCAGAUCUCUGGGCCGUAACUGACGCUGAGGAGCGAAAGGGUGGGGAGCAAACAGGCUUAGAUACCCUGGUAGUCCACCCCGUAAACGUUGGGAACUAGUUGUGGGGACCAUUCCACGGUUUCCGUGACGCAGCUAACGCAUUAAGUUCCCCGCCUGGGGGAGUACGG
rnacentral:rRNA from 1 species